rnacentral:rRNA from 1 species
UACGUAGGGGGCAAGCGUUGUCCGGAUUUAUUGGGCGUAAAGAGCGUGUAGGCGGCUUUACAGGUCCGUUGUGAAAACUCGAGGCUCAACCUCGAGACGCCGGUGGAAACCGUAAGGCUAGAGUCCGGAAGAGGAGAGUGGAAUUCCCAGUGUAGAGGUGAAAUUCGUAGAUAUUGGGAAGAACACCGGUGGCGAAGGCGGCCAUCUGGACCGCAACGUGACGCGUGAGGCGCGGAAAGCGUGGGGA